GAUGAACGCUGACGGCGUGCCUAAUACAUGCAAGUCGAGCGAACGGACGAGAAGCUUGCUUCUCUGAUGUUAGCGGCGGACGGGUGAGUAACACGUGGAUAACCUACCUAUAAGACUGGGAUAACUUCGGGAAACCGGAGCUAAUACCGGAUAAUAUUUUGAACCGCAUGGUUCAAAAGUGAAAGACGGUCUUGCUGUCACUUAUUGAUGGAUCCGCGCUGCAUUAGCUAGUUGGUAAGGUAACGGCUUACCAAGGCAACGAUGCAUAGCCGACCUGAGAGGGUGAUCGGCCACACUGGAACUGAGACACGGUCCAGACUCCUACGGGAGGCAGCAGUAGGGAAUCUUCCGCAAUGGGCGAAAGCCUGACGGAGCAACGCCGCGUGAGUGAUGAAGGUCUUCGGAUCGUAAAACUCUGUUAUUAGGGAAGAACAUAUGUGUAAGUAACUGUGCACAUCUUGACGGUACCUAAUCAGAAAGCCACGGCUAACUACGUG
rnacentral:rRNA from 1 species